rnacentral:rRNA from 1 species
UACGUAGGGGGCAAGCGUUGUCCGGAAUCAUUGGGCGUAAAGAGCGUGUAGGCGGUCCGGUAAGUCGGUUGUGAAAGCCCAGGGCUCAACCCUGGGAUGCCGACCGAUACUGUCGGACUAGAGUUCGGAAGAGGCGAGUGGAAUUCCCGGUGUAGCGGUGAAAUGCGCAGAUAUCAGGAGGAACACCGGUGGCGAAGGCGGUUCUCUGGGAAUGUCCUGACGCUGAGGAGCGAAAGUGUGGGGAGCGAACAGG